UAAAGCUACUAAGAGCGUAUGGAGGAUGCCUAGGUACAUGGAGACGAUGAAGGACGUGGUAAGCUGCGUUAAGCCUCGGGGAGGUGCAAACAACCUUUGAUCCGGGGAUAUCCGAAUGGGACAACCCAUCCUGAGUUAUGUCAGGAUACUUCCGCUUGAACACAUAGGGCGGAUAGAGUCAACGAGGAGAACUGAUACAUCUAAGUAACCUUAGGAAGAGAAAAUAAAAAUGAUUCCCUGAGUAGCGGCGAGCGAAAAGGGAAGAGCCUAAACCAUCAACGUGCCAAGCCUGCAAGCGUUGCGCUGAUGGGGUUGUGGGAUCAUUUCUGAGUAAUUUGCAGAUUAUUCGGCAAGUCAUAAAAUUGAAUAUUAAUUGAAUGGUAUGGAAAGACCAGCCAAAGAAGGUGACAGCCCUGUAUAUGAAAAUUGAAAAUCUUGCUGGAAAUGACACCCGAGUAUCGCGGGACACGAGAAAUCUUGUGUGAAUCUGCCAGGACCAUCUGGUAAGGCUAAAUACUCCCAUGUAACCGAUAGUGAACUAGUACCGUGAGGGAAAGGUGAAAAGUACUCCUAGCGGAGAGUGAAAUAGAACCUGAAACCAUACGCUUACAAGCAGUCAGAGUCCCAAUUUAUUGGGAUGAUGGCGUGCCUUUUGCAUAAUGAGCCAACGAGUUGCUCGUAUGUUGCAAGGUUAAGUCCAAAUGGACAGAGCCGUAGGGAAACCGAGUCUGAAUAGGGCGUUUAGUAGCAUGCGGCAGACCCGAAACCGAGUGAUCUAGCCAUGGUCAGGUUGAAGUUCCGGUAACACGGAAUGGAGGACCGAACCCACUUAUGUUGAAAAAUGAGGGGAUGAACUGUGGUUAGGGGUGAAAGGCCAAUCAAACUCGGAGAUAUCUGGUUCUCGUCGAAAUGUCUUUAGGGACAGCGUCACAUAAAAAUGUACCGGGGGUAGAGCACUGGAUGGGCUAGGGGGCCUACAAGCUUACCAACCCCAACUAAACUCCAAAUACCGGUUACAUGUUCUGUGGCAGUGAGGCUACGGGGGAUAAGCUUCGUAGCCGAGAGGGAAACAACCCAGACCAACAGCUAAGGUCCCAAAAUCUAUGCUAAGUGAUUAAGGAUGUCAAAUCGCCCAGACAGCUAGGAGGUUGGCUUAGAAGCAGCCAUCCUUUAAAGAAAGCGUAAUAGCUCACUAGUCGAGGGGUUUUGCGCCGAUAAUAUCCGGGACUUUAAAGCAUAGUACCGAAGCUUUGGUUCUUUAACAUUAGUUAAAGAAGGUAGACGAGCGUUCCAUUGACCUGUGAAGCUUGAUCCGUGAGGACAGGUGGAGGAGAUGGAAAUGAGUAUGUUGGCAUGAGUAGCGAUAAUUCCGGUGAAAUUCCGGAACGCCGAAAACCCAAGGGUUCCUGAGUAAAGUAACUCUGCUCAGGGUUAGUCGGAUCCUAAGCCGAGGCCGAAAGGCGUAGGCGAUGGAAAACGGGUUUAAUAUUCCCGUACCAGUGUAUAAUUGUUUGAACUAUGGGGGGACGCAGAAGUGAAAGAUCAGCCUGGUUUUGAUUGUCCAGGUUUAAGUGUGUAGGAGGUUCAUGUAGGUAAAUCCGCAUUUUCAUUAACUCCGAGGCACGAAUAGGAGGGCUUAGCCCACAAACUGAUCCUAAUCAUGCUGCCAAGAAAAUCCUCUAUGUUAGAUUAUAAACUGACCGUACCCUAAACGGACACACGUGGGUGAGGAGAGUAUCCUAAGGCGUUUGAGUGAUUCCAGGUAAAGGAACUAGGCAAAUUAGCCCCGUAACUUCGGAAGAAGGGGUGCCCCUAUUAGGUGAAAUUAUUUACGAAUAGAGCCGAAAGGGGUCGCAGUAACCAGGCACAAGCGACUGUUUAGCAAAAACACAGGUCUCUGCUAAGUCGUAAGACGAAAUAUAGGGACUGACACCUGCCCGGUGCUGGAAGGUUAAAUAGAGAGGUUAGCUUACUUCGGUAAGCGAAGCUUUGAAAUGAAGCCCCAGUAAACGGCGGCCGUAACUAUAACGGUCCUAAGGUAGCGAAAUUCCUUGUCGGGUAAGUUCCGACCUGCACGA
rnacentral:rRNA from 1 species